GAUGAAGAACGUAGCGAAAUGCGAUAAGUAAUGUGAAUUGCAGAAUUCAGUGAAUCAUCGAAUCUUUGAACGCACAUUGCGCCCCCUGGUAUUCCGGGGGGCAUGCCUGUCCGAGCGUCAUUACAACCCUCAAGCUCAGCUUGGUGUUGGGCCCCGCCGCCCCGGCGGGCCCUAAAGUCAGUGGCGGUGCCGUCCGGCUCCGAGCGUAGUAAUUCUUCUCGCUCUGGAGGUCCGGUCGUGUGCUCGCCAGCAACCCCCAAUUUUUUUCAGGUUGACCUCGGAUCAGGUAGGACUACCCGCUGAACUUAAGCAUAUCAAUAAGCGGAGGA
rnacentral:misc_RNA from 1 species